UUUCCGUAGGUGAACCUGCGGAAGGAUCAUUGUCGAAACCUGCCCAGCAGAACGACCCGCGAACUUGUAUAAACAACCGGGGGCGGGGGGCGUUCUCGCCCCGUGCCCCCGAACGGCGGGGAGACACUCGUGCCUUCUUGCCGAACAACGAACCCCGGCGCGGUCUGCGCCAAGGAACUUCAACUAAAGAGUGCCUCCGGUCGCCUCGGAAACGGCGUGCGUGCCGGGGGCGAAUCUUGUGCAAAACCGUAACGACUCUCGGCAACGGAUAUCUCGGCUCUC
rnacentral:misc_RNA from 1 species